rnacentral:tRNA from 1 species
GGGGUUGUAGCUCAGUGGUAGAGCACUUGCCUGGCAUGUGUGAGGCACUGGGUUCAAUUCUCAGCACCA